GGGGUUGCCGUGGGGUUGCUGGGACCUGUUUUCACUACAAAUAGGAUGUAUCUUUUAUAUAAAAGAAAAAAAUGAAAGCUUGGGAAAUUGUACAGGUCCCAUUCAAGAAUUUGGUGAUGAUGGUUUCAUGAUUUGGAUGGCUGGGAGUAUAGUGUAUUUGUUUAGCACUGAAUCACAUUUUCCGCUCUUUGGCAACCCAUAAUCACCUUACAUGGUGUAGAGAAGGAUUUUCGACCUAUGGUCUGAUUGACAUUGGGUUUGCUCGAGUUUACAGAUCUAUGUGUGCAGCAAGCAAAAUCCUUUCAUUCAUAUGAGCUUCUUGAUCCUCUUUAACUUCACAGCAGCUGACCUACCUGGGAUAGGUGCAUUGAGACCUAAAAAUGUAUGCGUGAACUUCAUACAUUUUUGUGAGGCUCGGAACCUUGAAGGGAUUUUGGAUCGUUGGAGUAAAAACUUGGUUCUUUGGCAUUUGAAGGGCUAAACAUGUUCGUCCACCGAAAAAAUGACUGACUAGAGUCUCCAUUAUAAAUUGCCACAAAGUUGCUCUGCCCGUUUUUUUGCCUUUAAAACAUGUACAGCUGAAAACUUAGUUGUUGAAGCAACAACAGAACCUUUUUUUGAGUUUUUUGUAACUGCUUAAACAAGUGCCUAGAUUCUAGAGUAUGUAUUUUGUCACCUUAACUAUAGGGGAAAAUAUGUGUCAACUACAUCUUCCUUUUGUAACUAACAAAAACAGGCAUCCUACAUCUUUAUUCCUUUGAACAUUUGGCUUUCUUUUUUGUAAGUACUUAAACAGGUGCCUAAGACUGCAAGGCCUGUAUUUUGUCACUAUAACUACAAGGGAAAAAUAUGUGUGAACUACCACUUUCUUUUAUAACUUAUGGAAACAAGCAUACUGCAUCUUUGUUACUUUGAA